ACCUCCAAGUACAACAAGGACGGCACUAGCGUUACAUAGUUCAAUGUUUUUGUUGUGAGUAUGUAUGCAGUGUGCGCUGUCAUGUCAGCUGAGUGAUUAUUGAGUUGAGCAAUGGUGGUGUUUUUACAUUUUCGAGAGCUAAAAUUAUAAACAGCCCAUCGAACUGGUGUAAUUUCCUUUUAAGUGUUUGUUAAUUAUUUACGUGAUGAAUAGAAAAUGUGUUUAUGCAUCAUAUUUUAAUAUUUAACAAUGCUCUAAGGAGUAUUUCGGAGGAUUCUGGACUGCGGUCCAUUUUUCUAGGACACAAGAUUAAUGCAAGUGGUAGUUACACUACGCUGUAUUAUAUUUAAGCUGUGAAGAUUCAAACAAACAACCGUCACCAUGCUGUAUGUUUUCCAUGUAGAUGCUGGUCAAAUGACCACAUAUGACAUGGGACUAACACUGCAAAAAGUGUCUUCACUUAAACUAGCUAUUGAGAGAAAGACCAAAGUCCCGGCCAACUCAUUGGUGCUCCUAGUGAGUGGAGGAGAGGUUCUCCAAUCGGACCAUAUGGUGUCCUCAUACAGUGCUGGCACAGACACAAACCCAAUAUAUAUGUUCAGCAAACCAUCAGUGAAGGAGAGCCAUUUGAACCAGUCUAGUAAGUAUACAGGCUUUUACUUGACUAUGGCGGCUAUAUGCUAUUCAGAUCUUUGAGCAGGGAAAUCUUGCUGUAAUAAACUUGUAAUUAUCUUCAAUAUAUUUUGAAAUGUCAGACUGAACUCAUAAGAUGGCUGUUAGGUAAACAAAUGCGACAGUAAAUACAACUAAUUUGUUGUUUAUCAACUUCAAACAGUGACAAAUUAUGAUUUGAAUACAUGAUUCAGUUCAAAGCUUUGUUCGUAUAUUUAUUCUAAUUUAUCAUGAUUUUUAUUUAAGGCCAUCAAUAUUUAAUGAACAUUGCCAAUAGAACCAUUCUCUUACUUAUUUUUUAAUCAGUUUGAAGUAGAUUAAAUAAAUACAUUGAAGAC